UACGUAGGGGUCGAGCGUUGUCCGGAGUUACUGGGCGUAAAGCGCAUGCAGGCGGCUCAUUACGCACGGCGUGAAAGCCCCCGGCUCAACCGGGGAGGGUCGUCGUGUACGGGUGAGCUUGAGGGUAUCAGGGGCUGGUGGAAUUCCCGGUGUAGUGGUGAAAUGCGUAGAGAUCGGGAGGAACACCUGUGGCGAAGGCGGCCAGCUGGGAUACACCUGACGCUGAGAUGCGGAGGCGUGGGGGGCGAACGGGAUUAGAUACCCCGGUAGUCCACGCAGUAAACGAUGCAGACUAGGCGUGGGAGGACUUGACCCCUUCCGUGCCGGAGCUAACGCGAUAAGUCUGCCGCCUGGGGAGUACGGCCGCAAGGCUAAA
rnacentral:rRNA from 1 species